rnacentral:rRNA from 1 species
ACUCCUACGGGAGGCAGCAGUGGGGAAUAUUGGACAAUGGGCGAAAGCCUGAUCCAGCCAUGCCGCGUGUGUGAAGAAGGUCUUCGGAUUGUAAAGCGCUUUAAGUUGGGAGGAAGGGCAGUUACCUAAUACGUGAUUGUUUUGACGUUACCGACAGAAUAAGCACCGGCUAACUCUGUGCCAGCAGCCGCGGUAAU